GAGGGUAUAGCUCAAGUGGUAGAGCACACGCUUAGCAUGCAAAGGGUCCUGGGUUCAAUCCCCAGUACUGCCU
rnacentral:tRNA from 1 species